rnacentral:rRNA from 1 species
UACGGGGGGGGCAAGCGUUGUUCGGAAUUACUGGGCGUAAAGGGCUCGUAGGCGGCCAACUAAGUCAGACGUGAAAUCCCUCGGCUUAACCGGGGAACUGCGUCUGAUACUGGAUGGUUGGAGGUUGGGAGAGGGAUGCGGAAUUCCAGGUGUAGCGGUGAAAUGCGUAGAUAUCUGGAGGAACACCGGUGGCGAAGGCGGCGAUCCUGGACCAAUUCUGACGCUGAUGAGCGAAAGCCAGGGGAGCAAACGGG